GCAGCGGUGGUUGAGUGGUAGAAUUCUCACCUUCCAUGAGGCAGACCCUGGUUCGAUUCCCAGCCACUGCA
rnacentral:tRNA from 1 species